UGACGGUUACCAACACUGAAGAGGACAACGAUGACAAUGAUGGAAUCCAAUUCUAGCAUGAAUCCUCUUCAUGGAUUCUUCGACAUUGAAUCAAUGAGUCACCAUGUUUUGUUUUGUGGUUUUACUGCAACAAGAAAAGGCGAAAUGUCUAAUUCGCAUGGAAAGGGGACAAUAGCUCCUUUGUAUUCCUUUCCUCCGAUGGUCGCAUUGAGCUUUCUCGUCUCUUGUUGCUAGUUUCGACCCAUUACAUGUCGAUCGUAUUUAUCCUUUAAAGUACGAUCAGAAUUAUCUAAGAGGUUUAUCAACAGGUCUUCCACUAGCUUUUUGGCUGACCAAUCACAAGUUUGGGUACCUGCAAAAUCUCCCAGAGAUGAACAAGUUUACAGCUGAAUCCUGAACCUUCUUUGCGAGGAAACAUGAAUACUUUAAAGUAAUCACGGUUUCCAAUAGCAACCUUCAUUUCUUGAGACCCGUGAAAAGAAUAACACAGACAGACCAACUUUAAUGUGGGAGAUAUGGGAUGAAUUUAACAAAAUAAUAAGUAGAAUAUGCCUUGCAUAAUGAUUUAGACUUAGACAAUAAGAAGGAAUUAAUUUGCAUUGGAGAGGACUUUUUUCUGGCCAUAGCUUCAUUGUGUAAAAUGUAAACUGGUAUUGUAAUAUGGAUUUCCAUUUAUUGUCUUGAUUAUUUAAAGUGAAUUCCCAUA